GGUUAAAUGAAGAAGGGCGCACGGUGAAUGCCUUGGCACUAGGAGCCGAUGAAGGACGCGACGAACAGCGAUAUGCUUCGGGGAGUUGUAAGUACACAUUGAUCCGAAGAUUUCCGAAUGGGGAAACCCACUGCUUUUCACAGAGCAGUGCUGUAUGGUGAAUACAUAGCCAUAUAGCGGCAGACCCGGAGAACUGAAACAUCUUAGUACCCGGAGGAAGAGAAAGCAAACGCGAUUUCCUGAGUAGCGGCGAGCGAAACGGAACAUAGCCCAAACCAAGUGGCUUGCCACUUGGGGUUGUAGGACACUCUAUACGGAGUUACAAAGAAGCGAGAUAGAUGAAGCGACCUGGAACGGUCCAUCGAAGAAGGUAAGAAUCCUGUAAUCGACAUUUCGUUUCCUCUUGAGUGGAUCCUGAGUACGGCGGGACACGAGAAAUCCCGUCGGAAGCAGGGAGGACCAUCUCCCAAGGCUAAAUACUCCCUAGUGACCGAUAGUGAACCAGUACCGUGAGGGAAAGGUGAAAAGCACCCCGGGAGGGGAGUGAAAUAGAUCCUGAAACCGUGUGCC
rnacentral:ncRNA from 1 species